rnacentral:lncRNA from 1 species
CGGAAACAGAAAGAAAGAAAAUAUGUUUUAAGUAGGUAGCAGUAUGUUUUUGAAGAUGAUGGCUUCCUAAUAUUUAAGCAUACAAUUGAAAUUUACUGAACCGUGGGAGAUGAAUUGGAGGUACAGUACAAGAAUGAAUAAAUAGAUUCUAUUUAUAUUUUCCACACCCUACAUGUACAACACCGAGAAGCUCCUCGUAAAUCAAGCUUACAAGGGUGAGCAUUGAACAAUCAUACUCUCUUCUUGCUAGCCGGCGAUGAGAACACUUGUGCAACAAUUAGUAUUGCAAUGUUCUCCUUGAUAGGUUCAUGAAGAUUGCCAGCGAUACGGAUCUCAUUAAAUACUUAGGACUGAAUAUUUCACCAUUGGUAUUCAUAGGAAUUAAUCAGUACUACAUAUAAUGGUACAACUCGCAAGAAAUUUCAUAGCAUGUGAAUAAGUGGGAAAAGCAAUAUGACAAUUUAAUGUCUCAUCGACCCUGCAAGCUGGCAGCAUCCGAAGUGAUGAUCAUUUUAAACAUAAUCUUUGACUACAAGAAUGACUACACUACAAUUCAUUGUUUAUUUUUUCCUGGACCUUUUUACCCUAAAUAAGAAAUAAUACAAGGACAAACUUAAAGAACGCUAAUGCGGUGUAGUGCCAUCAGGCAUGGAUAAGUAUGCAAGGAAAAACUCAUGUUCUGGGCUUUUUUACCCUGAACGAUGCAUGGAACGACAGUAAUAAACAUAUUAGGAAAAUUAUGCAUCUUUAUUUGUCCAUAAUAAGUUUUGUCUAUUCUGCCAAAUCAGUUUUUUUUACUAUAUCAUUCGGCCGCCACUCUGUCCACAUGGGGAGUGUGCUAGCAUUAGUAGCAUGUAUCUAAACUCUGAUUACCAGCACAUACAUUGAUUAACAAUAAUGCUGGUGCAAAGAGGACUCACAUGUGGUGAGAAACUGAAGAAGUGUUGGCUAAUGGUUGAGGGCGCUCGAAGGGUUGAUAUCACUGAACAAGCUGUGCACCAGUGCAACCCCUAGAAAACUUUAGAAAUGAUGUUUCUAUCCACCAGCAUAAAUCAAAAGAUAAACCUAUGAUUACGUGGUAGGCCUGAUAAGCCACUCCAAACCAAUCGAAAAAGAGAUCAAUCUGUGACUUGCUGAAUAAUUAACAAACUUGGUGUUGUUGUCCACUACCAAAUGAUUGGUGCCCGCAGCUCGUUUGGCUCUGUCUGCUUGGUGCCAGCAAAUUAGCACAUAGAUGCAUCCGCCCACAGUAUCAACAGCUCAUCAAAGAACGGAUUAGUACCUUAGCAGGGAUAGAAAAAUACGAAGCAGACAAACGGAAUUUGCAGUUAUCAACAAACACUAAUUUGAAUAACUUCUAAAUCUCACAUAGUGCAGGGGUGCUGUGAGUAUCAUUGUGUUACAGAAAUAAUGUUCCUUCCUUAGUCUACUACAGGGUGCAGAAUCCAUCGACCACCAUGAUCCUCUAUCACAUUAAAGCUGGUGUACAUCAUCUGAUAACUGUCUCUGUUCCCGUUGAUAAAUUGUGUAACACUAUGACUAAAGAUUAUUACCCCGUUGUCAAUGAAGUGAAGAAAGAACAAAUUAUCUGCACACCCCCAUAUUUAUGAAAGAUUAUUAUCAUCGGUAAGUUUAAAAUAUACACACAUGUUACUACCAAUAAUUAUUAAUGGCUUGUACCUUACAAAUACACCAUACUAAAACAUUAUAUUCUACUCCCUUUGUAAACUAAUAUAAGAN